UUGCACUGCACCUGUGAGUCGCCAUGAAUUUCUAAUAGAAGUGACACCAUGGUGAGGAUUUCCUUCACGAUUUCCUGGUGGCUACUUGUCGCACUGUUUUGCAGGACUACAAGCAAGCAUCACCACAGAAAUGAAAACCAAGACUCGUAUACAAGCUUAUCACAAGACUUUGCAGAAAAGCGU